rnacentral:rRNA from 1 species
AAAUUGAAGAGUUUGAUCAUGGCUCAGAUUGAACGCUGGCGGCAGGCCUAACACAUGCAAGUCGAGCGGUAGCACAGAGAGCUUGCUCUCGGGUGACGAGCGGCGGACGGGUGAGUAAUGUCUGGGAAAUUGCCUGAUGGAGGGGGAUAACUACUGGAAACGGUAGCUAAUACCGCAUAACGUCGCAAGACCAAAGUGGGGGACCUUCGGGCCUCAUGCCAUCAGAUGUGCCCAGAUGGGAUUAGCUAGUAGGUGGG